CCUUUUUACCCUUUUUAUUUUAAUUUUUUUAAAUUUUUUUUGGGGUUAACGGUGCAAAUCUAACGGAGACAGACGGCCGCCACCAUUUUAAAACGCGGAGGUAAAACCGAGCCACCAUUCUGUAGUUUUUGAAGUCCAGCCACCGUUUUGUAAAAUUCGUCAAACCUCAGCCACCACUUUGUCAUUUACUCAAAAAUAAAUUUAUUUAUGGUUUUGAGUUUCUUACGGGGGUGUAUUCGAUUGGGAUUUUAAUGCAUUGUUUUUAGUUUAUGGAUUUUAAUAGAUUGUAUGGGAUUUUGAUUUUUUGCGGAUUCUUGAUGAAAUGUCGCAGAGUUGAUAGGAUUUAGGUACAAUGCUUCAAAAUCCCAUUGAAUUUGGUGGGAUUUCAAAAAACUUAAAAUACACUGAAGAAUGCCACAAAAUCCAUCAUUUUAUGAAAUGAAAAAAAAUCCAUCAGCAUUUGAAUACCAUCAGAUUUUAAUGGAUUUUAAACAAUCCCAAUUGAAUACCAUCGGAUUUUAAAGCAUAAUUUAAAAUCCCAAUUGAAUACCACUAUAUUUUGUAGCAUAGUUUAAAAUCCCAAUUGAAUACCUCAAGAUUUUAAUGGAUUUCAAACAAUCCCAAUCGAAUACCCUCGGAUUUCAUGAAUGCAAAAAAAUGCUUUAAAAUCUCAAUCCAAUACACCCCUC
rnacentral:lncRNA from 1 species